rnacentral:rRNA from 1 species
GUGAGGAAUUUUCCGCAAUGGGCGAAAGCCUGACGGAGCAAUGCCGCGUGAAGGAUGAAGGCCUAUGGGUUGUAAACUUCUUUUCUCAGAAAAGAAUUAUGACGGUAUCUGAGGAAUAAGCAUCGGCUAACUCUGUGCCAGCAGCCGCGGUAAGACAGAGGAUGCAAGCGUUAUCCGGAAUGAUUGGGCGUAAAGCGUCUGUAGGUUGUUUAAAAAGUAUUCUGUCAAAGAUUAGGGCUUAACCAUAGAUAGGCAGAAUAAUCUUGUAAGCUAGAGUUUGGUAGAGGCAGAGGGAAUUCCCGGUGGAGCGGUGAAAUGCGUAGAAAUCGGGAGGAACACCAAAGGCGAAGGCACUCUGCUGGGCCAAUACUAACACUGAGAGACGAAAGCGAGGGGAGCAAAUGGGAUUAGAAACCCUGGUAGUCC